UACGAACGCUGGCGGCAGGCCUAACACAUGCAAGUCGAACGCCCCGCAGGGGGAGUGGCAGACGGGUGAGUAACACGUGGGAACAUGCCCUUUGGUUCGGAAUAACCCAGGGAAAAUUGAGUUAAUACGGGAUAAGUCCGCGAGGAGAAAUAUUUACUGACGAAGGAUGGGCACGCGUCUGAUUAGAUUGUUGGUGAGGUAAUGGCUGACCAAGGGGACGAUCAGUAGCUGGUCUGAGAGGAUGAUCAGCCACAUUGGGACUGAGACACGGCCGAAAAUCCUACGGGAGGCAGCAGUGGGGAAUAUUGGCCAAUGGGCGCAAGCCUGAUCCAGCCAUGCCGCGUGAGUGAUGACGGCCUUAGGGUUGUAAAGCUCUUUUGCCAGGGAAGAUAAUGACGGUACCGGGAGAAUAAGCCCCGGCUAACUUCGUGCCAGCCGCCGCCGUAA
rnacentral:rRNA from 1 species